rnacentral:pre_miRNA from 1 species
CGUGCACCAGUGGGGUCCCUCAGCCUGGCCUGCACCCUCGCGCAAUCUGGGACCCCUCAGGGGAUGUCAGAGAGCUGGUUUUGGCCCGAUCCCGCAGGCUAGGCUGAGGGACCCCACUGGUGCAGG